GGGUGCGAUCAUACUAGCGUUAAUGCACCGAAUCCCAUCAGAACUCCGCAGUUAAGCGCGCUUGGGCUAGAGUAGUGCUGGGAUGGGUGACCUCCCGUUAAGUCCUAGUGUUGCACCCU
rfam:Picea glauca, whole genome shotgun sequence.